GGCUGGAGUUUGCAGUCUCCCUGCUCUCUCAGCCCCAGCUUGGGUGUUCCCCAGCUGGGCACUCCAGCUGGGGGGGUUUUGCAGCCAGCUGGGCACUGACCUGCUGCAAACCUCCCUGCCCCUCAAGCCCCACUUACCUCAAGCAAGAACAUUGAGCCCGAAGCAGCCUCCAGUUGGACCUUUACCAAAAUCUGAAUGAAAUCUAAGGCAGGCUAUCUUGGCAUAACUAGCUGAACCUACCUUGCACUGUGACCAUUGAAGAAAAUCAUCCAUGGCUGAUAUGAGGCAAGGAGGCCUUUGGAGCUGAAAUGCCAGAGCCAUGGUCUACAUUACUGUAGGACUGAGACUGCAAUACUAGCUGCAGAAUGAGUGCUGUCACUCUGUACAGCGAGAACCCUCUUGCAAUACCUGUCUAAGUGGCUGUUGCAGAGAGGUCAGGAUUUGGCUCUGAACAAUUAAUCUCUGCAGUACUUGCCAUCAAUAAAUACAUAUUCCAUUUCGCUUGUCUGGUGAGAACUGAGAACUAUGCUUCCUGUUCACUGAGGAAAGAGAUAAAAGGCUCUUCAGUCCUGAUUUCCGUAAGAGAAAUGCACUUACCAUAAUACAGUCAAUAAACUUUGUAAUUUUUCUCAUGAAAACAAGCAUUAGUAGCUUCAGGAAUUAGUGAUGCUCACAACAUUCCUCA